UACGGGAGGCAGCAGUGGGGAAUAUUGGACAAUGGGCGCAAGCCUGAUCCAGCAAUGCCGCGUGUGUGAAGAAGGUCUUCGGAUUGUAAAGCACUUUCGACGGGGACGAUGAUGACGGUACCCGUAGAAGAAGCCCCGGCUAACUUCGUGCCAGCAGCCGCGGUAAUACGAAGGGGGCUAGCGUUGCUCGGAAUGACUGGGCGUAAAGGGCGCGUAGGCGGUUUGGACAGUCAGAUGUGAAAUUCCUGGGCUUAACCUGGGGGCUGCAUUUGAUACGUAUAGACUAGAGUGUGAGAGAGGGUUGUGGAAUUCCCAGUGUAGAGGUGAAAUUCGUAGAUAUUGGGAAGAACACCGGUGGCGAAGGCGGCAACCUGGCUCAUAACUGACGCUGAGGCGCGAAAGCGUGGGGAGCAAACAGGAUUAGAUACCCUGGUAGUCCACGCUGUAAACGAUGUGUGCUGGAUGUUGGGUGGCUUAGCCCCUCAGUGUCGUAGUUAACGCGAUAAGCACACCGCCUGGGGAGUACGGCCGCAAGGUUGAAACUUAAAGGAAUUGACGG
rnacentral:rRNA from 1 species